rnacentral:rRNA from 1 species
AGUGAACGCUGGCGGUAGGCCUAACACAUGCAAGUCGAACGGCAGCACAGUAAGAGCUUGCUCUUACGGGUGGCGAGUGGCGGACGGGUGAGGAAUACAUCGGAAUCUACUUUUUCGAGGGGGAUAACGUAGGGAAACUUACGCUAAUACCGCAUACGACCUACGGGUGAAAGCAGGGGAUCUUCGGACCUUGCGCGAUUGAAUGAGCCGAUGUCGGAUUAGCUAGUUGGCGGGGUAAAGGCCCACCAAGGCGACGAUCCGUAGCUGGUCUGAGAGGAUGAUCAGCCACACUGGAACUGAGACACGGUCCAGACUCCUACGGGAGGCAUCAGUGGGGAAUAUUGGACAAUGGGCGCAAGCCUGAUCCAGCCAUACCGCGUGGGUGAAGAAGGCCUUCGGGUUGUAAAGCCCUUUUGUUGGGAAAGAAAAGCAGCAGGUUAAUACCCCGCUGUUCUGACGGUACCCAAAGAAUAAGCACCGGCUAACUUCGUG